AUACGGAGGGUGCAAGCGUUAUCCGGAAUCAUCGGGUUUAAAGGGUCCGUAGGCGGACUAUUAAGUCAGAGGUGAAAUCCCACAGCUCAACUGUGGAACUGCCUUUGAUACUGGUAGUCUUGAGUUAUAUGGAAGUAGAUAGAAUGUGUAGUGUAGCGGUGAAAUGCAUAGAUAUUACACAGAAUACCGAUUGCGAAGGCAGUCUACUACGUAUAUACUGACGCUAAGGGACGAAAGCGUGGGGAGCGAACAGGAUUAGAAACCCUAGUAGUCC
rnacentral:rRNA from 1 species